rnacentral:tRNA from 1 species
GCGAGCGUAGCUCAGCGGUAGAGCUCCACGUUGCCAACGUGGUUGUCGAGGGUUCAAAUCCCUUCGCUCGCUCCA